rnacentral:rRNA from 1 species
UGGAGAGUUUGAUCCUGGCUCAGGACGAACGCUGGCGGCGUGCCUAAUACAUGCAAGUCGAACGCUUCUUUUUCCACCGGAGCUUGCUCCACCGGAAAAAGARGAGUGGCGAACGGGUGAGUAACACGUGGGUAACCUGCCCAUCAGAAGGGGAUAACACUUGGAAACAGGUGCUAAUACCGUAUAACAAUCRAAACCGCAUGGUUUUGAUUUGAAAGGCGCUUUCGGGUGUCGCUGAUGGAUGGACCCGCGGUGCAUUAGCUAGUUGGUGAGGUAACGGCUCACCAAGGCCACGAUGCAUAGCCGACCUGAGAGGGUGAUCGGCCACAUUGGGACUGAGACACGGCCCAAACUCCUACGGGAGGCAGCAGUAGGGAAUCUUCGGCAAUGGACGAAAGUCUGACCGAGCAACGCCGCGUGAGUGAAGAAGGUUUUCGGAUCGUAAAACUCUGUUGUUAGAGAAGAACAAGGAUGAGAGUAACUGUUCAUCCCUUGACGGUAUCUAACCAGAAAGCCACGGCUAACUACGUGCCAGCAGCCGCGGUA